rnacentral:lncRNA from 1 species
AACCCAGCCUACCUGCUGUAGCUGCCGCCACUGCCGUCUCCGCCGCCACUGGGCCCCCAGAGCCCCAGCCCCAGAGCCUUGAUGCGGCCCCAUGUCCCUCCUUGUUCCCAGAGGAACCUGGGGCCCGCUCCUCCCCCCUCCAGGCCAUGAGGAUUCUGCAGUUAAUCCUGCUUGCUCUGGCAACAGGGCUUGUAGGGGGAGAGACCAGGAUCAUCAAGGGGUUCGAGUGCAAGCCUCACUCCCAGCCCUGGCAGGCAGCCCUGUUCGAGAAGACGCGGCUACUCUGUGGGGCGACGCUCAUCGCCCCCAGAUGGCUCCUGACAGCAGCCCACUGCCUCAAGCCCCGCUACA